UCGUUAUGUUGUGGGCUGCCUUACGCAGAGCCCACACGAUAAGAAACUGCCACCCACAACGCACGAGGAGCUGAAUCCUGCCAAGAACUCUCAAUAAGUAAGCGAGCUUGAAAGUGGAUGCCUGCCCAGUUGAACCUUGAGAGGAGACCACAGCCCCUGGCUAAUGCUUUCAUUGCUGUCUGCCAGAACUAAGAAGAUGAGAUCUUGGAGUUUAAGGAGGACAAGUCACUCACCGCUCCGCCAAUCACUGGUGGCACUUGGACUGUUCCCUAGGAAUGCUGGAUUUCAAAGCCUAUUCCUGUUCCUCUACUCCAAGCUACCCUGAGGGCAGAAAACAUGUCUUCAUCUAUCUUUGCCUUUCCAACAGCAUAUGGUCUCUUUUCUGACACACAGUGGGUGUGAACAUUGAUAAAAUAUUUAACAAAGGUUAGCAAAGAAAUAAACUCAAAAGCC